rnacentral:rRNA from 1 species
GACGAACGCUGGCGGCGUGCUUAACACAUGCAAGUCGAACGGAAAGGCCCUGCUUUUGUGGGGUGCUCGAGUGGCGAACGGGUGAGUAACACGUGAGUAACCUGCCCUUGACUUUGGGAUAACUUCAGGAAACUGGGGCUAAUACCGGAUAGGAGCUCCUGCUGCAUGGUGGGGGUUGGAAAGUUUCGGCGGUUGGGGAUGGACUCGCGGCUUAUCAGCUUGUUGGUGGGGUAGUGGCUUACCAAGGCUUUGACGGGUAGCCGGCCUGAGAGGGUGACCGGCCACAUUAGGACUGAGAUACGGCCCAGACUCCUACGGGAGGCAGAGGUGGGGAGUAUUACACAAUGGGCGGAAGCCUGAUGCAGCAACGCCGCGUGCGGGAUGACGGCCUUCGGGUUGUAAACCGCUUUCGCCUGUGACGAAGCGUGAGUGACGGUAAUGGGUAAAGAAGCACCGGCUAACUACGUG